CCGGUAAACGGCGGCCGUAACUAUAACGGUCCUAAGGUAGCGAAAUUCCUUGUCGGGUAAGUUCCGACCUGCACGAAUGGCGUAAUGAUGGCCAGGCUGUCUCCACCCGAGACUCAGUGAAAUUGAACUCGCUGUGAAGAUGCAGUGUACCCGCGGCAAGACGGAAAGACCCCGUGAACCUUUACUAUAGCUUGACACUGAACAUUGAGCCUUGAUGUGUAGGAUAGGUGGGAGGCUUUGAAGUGUGGACGCCAGUCUGCAUGGAGCCGACCUUGAAAUACCACCCUUUAAUGUUUGAUGUUCUAACGUUGGCCCCUAAUCGGGGUUGCGGACAGUGUCUGGUGGGUAGUUUGACUGGGGCGGUCUCCUCCUAAAGAGUAACGGAGGAGCACGAAGGUUGGCUAAUCCUGGUCGGACAUCAGGAGGUUAGUGCAAUGGCAUAAGCCAGCUUGACUGCGAGCGUGACGGCGCGAGCAGGUGCGAAAGCAGGUCAUAGUGAUCCGGUGGUUCUGAAUGGAAGGGCCAUCGCUCAACGGAUAAAAGGUACUCCGGGGAUAACAGGCUGAUACCGCCCAAGAGUUCAUAUCGACGGCGGUGUUUGGCACCUCGAUGUCGGCUCAUCACAUCCUGGGGCUGAAGUAGGUCCCAAGGGUAUGGCUGUUCGCCAUUUAAAGUGGUACGCGAGCUGGGUUUAGAACGUCGUGAGACAGUUCGGUCCCUAUCUGCCGUGGGCGCUGGAGAACUGAGGGGGGCUGCUCCUAGUACGAGAGGACCGGAGUGGACGCAUCACUGGUGUUCGGGUUGUCAUGCCAAUGGCACUGCCCGGUAGCUAAAUGCGGAAGAGAUAAGUGCUGAAAGCAUCUAAGCACGAAACUUGCCCCGAGAUGAGUUCUCCCUGACUCCCUGAGAGUCCUGAAGGAACGUUGAAGACGACGACGUUGAUAGGCCGGGUGUGUAAGCGCAGCGAUGCGUUGAGCUAACCGGUACUAAUGAACCGUGAGG
rnacentral:rRNA from 1 species